CCCUUAGACGUUCUGGGCCGCACGCGUGCUACACUGACCGGCGCAACAAGUUUCUUUCCUUGGCUCGAUAGGCCUGGGUAAUCUUUGAACGCCGGUCGUGAUGGGGAUAGAUCCUUGCAAUUUUUGAUCUUCAACGAGGAAUUCCUAGUAAAUGCGAGUCAUCAUCUCGCGUUGAUUACGUCCCUGCCCUUUGUACACACCGCCCGUCGCACCUACCGAUUGAAUGGUCCGGUGAAGCCUCGGGAUUGCGAAUGCUUCGUGCGGACGCGAGAACUUGGCUAAACCUUACCAUUUAGAGGAAGGUGAAGUCGUAACA
rnacentral:rRNA from 1 species